rnacentral:rRNA from 1 species
GACGAACCGUGCGAACGUUGUUCGGAAUCACUGGGCUUAAAGGGCGCGUAGGCGGACGACCAAGUCGGGGGUGAAAUCUUUCGGCUCAACCGGAAAAUAGCCUUCGAUACUGGCCGUCUAGAGGGAGGUAGGGGCGUGUGGAACUUCCGGUGGAGCGGUGAAAUGCGUUGAUAUCGGAAGGAACUCCGGUGGCGAAGGCGGGUCUCUGGGCCGGAACUGACGGCUGAGGAGCGAAAGCGUGGGGGAGCGAACAGG